CAUAUGUUCAAAAAUGUGUAUAUAUAAUUAUAUCGUGUUAUCGUUCGCAACACAAUGCGUUAUAAUUAUAUAUACAAGAUUGCAUAG